rnacentral:misc_RNA from 1 species
UUGACUUAUUUAAUAAGACGCUCAGAUUUCGAUGUAAUAAGAAUUGAAUGGUCCACCGGCAGGAGGCUACAGGGUAACUUAUGUUGGCUACAGGGUAACUCGGACUCGAUACAGGGUAACUCCACAAGGCUACAGGGUAACUUCGUGGAGGUACAGGGUAACUUGACCGAGGUACAGGGUAGCUUCGAAGAGUUGCUAUAGGUCCUACCGAGGCAACGUAGGUAUGAUUCACAUGGGUUUGGGAGUUUUUUAUGACUCUGUAAUGAUCCCUCCGCUGGUUCACCAACGGAGA